AAUGAACGCUGGCGGCAUGGAUUAGGCAUGCAAGUCGAACGAGAAACUCUUCGGAGUGGAAAGUGGCGAAAGGGUGAGUAACGCGUGAGUAACUUGCCUCCAAAUCGAGGAUAACAGCUGGAAACGACUGCUAAUACUGGAUGUGAUAAUAAGACCGCAUGUUCUUAUUAUUAAAGAUCCGUUGUUUGGAGAUAGGCUCGCGUCCCAUUAGUUUGUUGGUAAGGUAACGGCUUACCAAGACUUUGACGGGUAGGUGGUCUGAGAGGAUGGUCACCCACACUGGGACUGAGACACUGCCCAGACUCCUGCGGGAGGCUGCAGUCGAGAAUCUUCCGCAAUGCGCGAAAGCGUGACGGAGCAAUGCCGCGUGAAUGAUGAAGGCCUUCGGGUCGUAAAGUUCUGUCAGGGGUGAAGAACAUUGACAUUAACCCCAGAGGAAGCCACGGCUAACUACGUGCCAGCAGCCGCGGUAAUACGUAGGUGGCGAGCGUUAUUCGGAUUUACUGGGCGUAAAGGAUCCGUAGGGGGUCUAUUAAGUCUGAUGUGAAAUUUCGGGGCUCAACCCCGAAGCUGCAUUGGAAACUGAUGGACUCGAGUCCGUGAGAGGUAAGUGGAAUUCUUGGUGUAGCGGUGGAAUGCGUAGAUAUCAAGAGGAACAUCGAAGGCGAAAGCAGCUUACUGGCACGGUACUGACCCUGAUGGAUGAGAGCUAGGGUAGCGAAAAGGAUUAGAUACCCUUGUAGUCCUAGCUGUAAACGUUGUACACUCGAUGUUGGAAGGUUCAGCCCUUUUCAGUGUCUAAGCUAACGCGAUAAGUGUACCGCCUGGGGGAGUACGGCCGCAAGGCUAAAACUCAAAGGAGUUGACGGGGGCCCGCACAAGCGGUGGAGCAUGUGGGCUUAAUUCGAGGCAAACCGCGAAGAACCUUACCUGGGUUUGACAUUGAGUGACCGAUCUUUAACAGGAUCUUUCCUUCGGGACACGAAAACAGGUGCUGCAUGGCUGUCGUCAGCUCGUGCUGUGAGGUGUUCGGUUAAGUCCGGCAACGAGCGCAACCCAUAUCUUCAGUUACCAACACGUAAUGGUGGGGACUCUGGAGAGACUGCCCGUGUCAAGCGGGAGGAAGGCGUGGACGACGUCAAGUCAGUAUGGCCCUUACACCCAGGGCUGCACACGUGCUACAAUGGCCACUACAGAGGGCAGCUACACAGCGAUGUGAUGCGAAUCCCUAAAAGUGGCCCCAGUUCGGAUUGGAGUCUGCAACUCGACUCCAUGAAGUCGGAAUCGCUAGUAAAGGCGUAUCAGCUACGACGCCUUGAAUACGUUCCCGGGCCUUGUACACACCGCCCGUCACAUCAUGGGAGCUUAGUGCACCCGAAGUCGCCGUACCAACCCUUGUGGAGGAAGGCGCCGAAGGUGUGCUCAGUGACUGGGAUG
rnacentral:rRNA from 1 species